GACGAACGCUGGCGGCAGGCCUAACACAUGCAAGUCGAACGAGAAGCCACCUUCGGGUGGUGGAAAGUGGCAGACGGGUGAGUAACGCGUGGGAACGUGCCUUUCGGUUCGGGACAACCCAGGGAAACUUGGGCUAAUACCGGAUACGCCCUUCGGGGGAAAGAUUCAUUGCCGAAAGAUCGGCCCGCGGCGGAUUAGCUCGUUGGUAGGGUAAUGGCCUCCCAAGCCGACGAUCGGUAGCUGGUCUGAGAGGAUGAUCAGCCACACUGGGGCUGAGAUACGGCCCAGACUCCUACGGGAGGCAGCAGGGGGGAAUAUUGGACAAUGGGCGCAAGCCUGAUCCAGCAAUGCCGCGUGGAUGAUGAAGGCCUUAGGGUUGUAAAGUCCUUUCGGCGGGGACGAUGAUGACGGUACCCGCAGAAGAAGCCCCGGCUAACUUCGUGCCAGCCGCCGCAGUAAGAC
rnacentral:rRNA from 1 species